GAUGAACGCUGGCGGCGUGCCUAAUACAUGCAAGUCGAGCGAACAGACGAGGAGCUUGCUCCUCUGACGUUAGCGGCGGACGGGUGAGUAACACGUGGAUAACCUACCUAUAAGACUGGGAUAACUUCGGGAAACCGGAGCUAAUACCGGAUAAUAUAUUGAACCGCAUGGUUCAAUAGUGAAAGACGGUUUUGCUGUCACUUAUAGAUGGAUCCGCGCCGCAUUAGCUAGUUGGUAAGGUAACGGCUUACCAAGGCGACGAUGCGUAGCCGACCUGAGCGGGUGAUCGGCCACACUGGAACUGAGACACGGUCCCGACUCCUGCGGGAGGCCGCAGUAGGGAAUCUUCCGCAAUGGGCGAAAGCCUGACGGAGCAACGCCGCGUGAGUGAUGAAGGUCUUCGGAUCGUAAAGCUCUGUUAUUAGUGAAGAACAAAUGUGUAAGUAACUAUGCACGUCUUGACGGUACCUAAUCAGAAAGCCACGGCUAACUACGUG
rnacentral:rRNA from 1 species